GUUUUUUUUUAUUUUCAGGACUUUUUAUAGUACGCGGUAGGGAUUUACGGUGAAUUGGGUAACGCGUUUGUAUUUUUCAGUGUAUAUAGAUAGGUUAAGCUCAUUGAACAUUAAUUAUUGCCAUUUUGUUUUUUAUUCCAAAGUCUAUUUUAAUCAUAUCGAUGGGGUUAUACAAUAUACAUAUUUAAAUGGCUAUCAGCCUAUCACUCUUCAAAUUCCAAAGUUACGUUUGUUUGGAUAACUCUGUGCUUCUCUCGGUUCUUAAGUUGCACCUUUUUAUUGUAAAGGCUACGAAAACCAAAUAGUUAACCGUAAUCAUUUUAGCUUUCAUGUUUAUUGCUAUAACUUUAAUGUUACUAUAAUCCUACGCCUAUCUCUUUUUAUGUCCCCAUGUCGGUGUAACAUAGCGAUAGUUGAUUAAUGUAACUGCAAAAAAAAAAAACGGUUUUUACCUAUAGCCGAAAACUGAUAAAAUAUAACUUUUUGUUUGCAUAGAUACUACCAAUUUAAUGUAGGUAUUGUAUCCCUUUAUGAGCGUGACUUACCGCAAAAUAUCAUAUUCGUAAGAUUAUUAAAUCCACAUAAUUUAUGUCUUUAGCUCGAUGUCACGUACAGAAGGGGUAUACUAUCCUCGACACCGGUGUGGGGCCAUUUUAUCAAAUGACGGUAUGGUGCAAUCGGUGCUUCUUCUAACUUUACACUAAGUUAUAGGAAUUAAGUUAUUUAAGACUAUUUAUAUUAUGUGAAAUAGUUUAAGGUACAAAAUUAAAUUUAUACUCGAACAGUGGUAUUGUGAAUCAUAAUACUGCGCAACGUUGGUUUAUUAGCGGAACGAUUUGUCAAAGUAUAAAUAAAUACGUCUAUUAA